rnacentral:rRNA from 1 species
CCCUUAGAUGUCCUGGGCCGCACGCGUGCUACACUGAGUGGAUCAGCGGGUCAGGUUGCGCGAAAGUGUUUCCUAAUCUUGAAAUCCGCUCGUGAUGGGGAUUGACGGUUGCAAUUUUCUGUCAUGAACGAGGAAUACCUUGUAAGCGCGGGUCAUCAUCCCGCGCUGAAUACGUCCCUGCCCUUUGUACACACCGCCCGUCGCUCCUACCGAUUGAGUGGUCCGGUGAGGCUUUGGGAUCUGGAUGGAAAGAGCGUUUCGCUGUUUCUGCCCGGAAAACUCAGUCGAACCUUAUCAUUUAGAGGAAGGAGAAGUCGUAACA